AGGAGAGGUGUGCUGUGGAGGGCUUUUAUAGUGGGACAGAUUUUCUCUGAAUACCCCAGGUUUUAGCCUACAUUCAUACAAAGUGGGCAGUAAAUAAAUAUUUUUGAAAAUAAAGUCUGAAAAUCAUAUAAGUUUUUGGUUCCUUAACACAAUUUCCCUUCUCAUAAUUCAGAACCACCAUGCAUCAACUUCCCACUUCUCCUCACUGGAAAAUUGGAGGACUAUCUCCAAAUGGUUUUUGGACCUUAAGGCAGAGGGAGAAAAGUUUGCAUCCUUCAAGCAGAAGCUCCCAUGGAGUUUGUUGGUAAAGCAAGUUGUCUCAGGAAGUAAUGACUGAAGAUACAAUGCCUAGAAGUGUCACAGGCAACUUGCAACCUUGAGGAUAAAUUUCACAUGCUGAGCAUGAAGGAGCAUAAUGACAGAAGCUUGGAUUCUUUCUCAACGCCAUUGAAUGAAGAGAAAGCUGACAGUUGGAUGAAGAAAGGCCUUGUGGAGGAAGCGUCAUUAGAGCUGACCUUCAGGAAAAAGUUCAGUGUUUUUGCAGGCAAUCCUGGGGAAGUUAUUACAGAAAGUGCAGAGGAGAUCACUGGAUCAGAGGUGAAAAGAACAUGCAAGCGACCCUGAGGAAGCCAGCAACUAAGCUGCCCCAGAAGUCAGGAGUCUUUCAGUCUUUUCCGUGCUUAGAGCCUCAUCAACCAAGACAGGUGUGUG